rnacentral:rRNA from 1 species
GACAGAGGGUGCGAACGUUGUUCGGAAUUACUGGGCGUAAAGGGUGCGUAGGCGGGUCUUUAAGUCAGGGGUGAAAUCCUGGAGCUCAACUCCAGAACUGCCUUUGAUACUGAGGAUCUUGAGUUCGGGAGAGGUGAGUGGAACUGCGAGUGUAGAGGUGAAAUUCGUAGAUAUUGCAAGAACACCAGUGGCGAAGGCGGCUCACUGGCCCGAUACUGACGCUGAGGCACGAAAGCGUGGGAGCA